rnacentral:tRNA from 1 species
GCCGUUGUAGCUCAAUGGUAGAGCAGCUGAUUUGUAAUCAGCAGGUUAUGGGUUCGAGUCCCUUCAACGGCUCCA